UCCCGGGUUUUCCCGGUGGCGGCGCCGGAAGUCCCGCGUCCACCAGGCCCAACGGGAGCCUGGGCUCCUCCCGACUGGAAGGUUCCGGACUCAGGGAGUCAGGAACCCUGGCGCUGGGACCGGCUCGACAGUCUCCAGCGCCGCACUGAGACUUUGCACCUUUCUUCAGAGAGCGGCGCGGAGCCCCGAGGCCCUGGCGUCCAGAGGCCGUGGCCGGAGCGGCGGGGUGGAGGCGGGGAGCCCAUCUCCCGGGGACCGGCCUGUUGAGUGGGCCCCUUGCAGAUUAUGAGCUCCACAGAGGAAGGGACUAUUUCCCUCGUGGCUGUGCACACAGCACCCUGCACGGACUCUGAUACACUAUAGGCCCUCAAGUGUAUUGAAUGACUGGAUAAACGAACCAACCGGAUCUUGGUCUGUUUUUACUUUUCAUUCCACAAACGUCCUGGCAACGAGGAAGGGCAGGCGGGCCGCCAGGGAGCGGGUGAAGCACAGACACCACGCAGCCCUCGAGGCCGAUGCUUCAGUUUGCACGUCUAGAAAACAAGCACGCCGCCCUGCUGAAACCAAAGCGCCGUUCCCGCGCCGCGUAAGGUGCACGCUGACUUAUCACGUCACGCGCAGGCUGUGUGCCCCCCCCCCCCCCCCGCCCCCGAAACAUGUCCUGUGCUUGGUGUCCUGGGUCCAGGACCCGGUCAGAGUCUGCACACGGAGCGGCCUGUUCUGAAAAGCAUCCCAAACGCCCUAAUUCAGGCUGCGUGUUUACCAGCGGGAGCACGGAGAGCGCCAGCCGCCUCCCGCUCACACCGGGCGCCCUCGGUCCCUGUUCAGACGGCCUCGCUCAGGCGGCGCGGUGCAUCCAGGAACGGACAGCCCUGCAGACGCGGGCUCCCGGAACAUUCCAGAAGCCCGAGGGGGCCCUGUGAAGCAGGGGAGCAGAUGGCUGAGCCACGGGGGAUGUAUCUUCUUUCUCUAAACCGCACCGAGCCUGCCGGGGGGCUCCGGCCACCACUCAGGCGGGUCUCCUGGGGCAGCUCUGGGGUGACCCUUGAAAGCCUGUCCUGGGCUCUUGGCCACAAUGCAAACAGGUGCAGGCCACCACACCGCUCGGGGCGCCUGGGCACACGCGUGAGUCCUGCUAGUCCUGCCCAGUUUCUGGCUGUCUGGUUGCCUUGAUGGGAGUUUUGCGGUUUUCACGCUGCCUUGGGACAAACAGGACCGAGGUUCACAGGAUCCCCGUGGGGUCCACACACUUCACUGCUGUGGCCUGUGGCCUCCACCCAACAGAUGCCAGCAGUGUCCCCCGGUCCCCAACAUCCUCCUCGGUGAACUCCUGUGCUACAUCUUACACAAGAGACAGGUCUGAAAAGUCAGGAAAGUUCCAGAGCCAUGGGCACCAGCUAAGAGUUUCAAGCUUUGGGAGAACCUCAAACCAGGCGUUUCAGGGGUGCUUGGGAAGGAGCCUGUGCGUGGGCGGAGGGAGGGGCACAGCGGCCGGGUCUGCCCCGUGUCCCGCCAUCAUGCCCGGGGAAGCUGCGUCAGAGCCUGGCCCCGUGGCCCGCAGGAAACAGCACGGUCAUGGAGACACCUAUGGGGCCGUUUCCUCCCGGAAGUGCUGGUGUGGCGCCAGGCGCCCUCCAGGGCCCAGCGGGAUGUCCCCCUCCUCCUUCCUUGUCCACAUCCCCAGGGUGGUGAGGGAGGGGCCACAGGGAGCCCGGGCGGACAGCCCACCUAUACGAAGAAGGCAUGGUGGGGCGCCUGGGUGGCUCAGCUGGUUAAG